AAAAAGACAAACCCUGGGUUUCCGUGUCCAACUUUGACUAUCCGUCUUAUAUGAAAUUUUUUUUAUAAUUAGUAUUUUCAUUGUUGUUAGAUGAUAAAACAUGAUUAAUACUUUAUGCGUGAGACUUGUCUUUUUAAUUUUUUUCAUAAUUUUUUUAAAUAAGACGGACGGUCAAACGUUGGACACGGAAACCCAGGGUU
rnacentral:pre_miRNA from 1 species